AAUCCUCCAUGUAUGCUGCAAUGGGUGGCGGCCUGAGUUUAAACUCUUCGUAACAAUCAGAGGAUUCUAAUGGUGGCAUUGAGUCCUCUUCAGUUCCUAUUGAUGAGUUAAACUCUUUCAUAUACCAAGGCACAUCCUGAGAGGCUCCCUGUCCUUCCACCUCCUCAAUUUCUUGUGCUAAAUUCACAAAUCUGUUAUUCUCCUCAUUAUUUGGAAGCCAAGUUGCUUCUCCAAGAGUCUCCUGCAGCAGUCACCUCUGGCUCCCCUCCCCUGCAAUUCUUCUAGAUGUUUCCAGAGAAUAGUUGCUGCACACACUAAAAGAUCAAUUUCGGAAUGAACAUUUGUACAGCACUUGUAAAAAUGCCAGCUCUGCAGAUCGAAGCGGCUGAGAGGCCAAAUGCAGGGCACAGCAAUCCUUCAGGGUCCUACAGGACAUUGGGUCCAACAUCCUAUGAACUGGCCGAGGUCUCUCCAUCUCCAUCGCCAUGGAUUCACCACCACUUCUGCAGGUGCAAACAGACUGAGCCAGCUCUCCAGCUUACUCAUAGGAAUGCCCGGUUGCUUGCCCAGUCUCAGUCCGAGAGACAGUUCCCGUGCAAGAAGUGUGCCUGCCCUGAUCCUACAUAAGGAGUCCCUGGGGGCGUGCCAAGUUGUCGUGACAGUGUCUUUGCUUGAGUAGCCAUCCCUAGUAAUGUCUUAUAGAGAUGCAGAGACCUGUGUGAUCUGUAGUCUAAUAUAUGUAGCCCUCAUGUGUUAAAUUUUGCAUUAAAAACAGCAGAGAAAAACAUGUCAUUGCUCCCAAGUCUAAUUCCAAAAGAGUUGGCCAGGACACAACUGUACAGUGCUUUUAAUUUAUUGUAAUCUUAUCAAUAUUAUUCGAAAGCGUUUUGUAUUGUAUAAUAAAAAUAAAUAUUAUUUCUCAUUA